CCCCGUCCUCGCGGUGGCCGCCACCGGUGUUCUCGGCACCGUCGGGGCCCGUGGGCUCGGUGCCGACGUCGGGGC
rnacentral:tRNA from 1 species